GGACCUUCUGACAGAGCAACAAGUGCUCUUAACCACAGGAGCGUCUCUCCAGUCUACCUAAUAAUUUAAAAUAUCUGUCCUUGGCUAAAAAGAUGGCUCAAUGGGUAAGGGUUCUUGUCACCAAGCCUGAUGAUGGUCUAAGUUUUAUCCUUGGGAUCCACAUGGUGGAAGGAGACAGUUGCUUCAAGUUGUCCUCUGGCCUUCAUAUAUGUGCUGUGGCAUGCAUGAUUGCCUAUCACUGCCAUGACAAGAGACACCAUCCCUCAGAAGAUAGAUGUCAGGAAGAGCAUGUGCUGUAAUCCCAGCACUUGGGACAUGGAGACAGGAAAAUCAAAAGUUCAAGGUUCUUCUCGGGCACAAAGGUCUCCUGUGCCUCAGACUGGCCUUGAAGUUUCUAUACAGCAGAGGGGAUAACGUUGAAUUUCUGAUCCCAUGUCUUCACCUCCUGAGUGACAGGAUUACAGAACUGCACCUGGUCGAAUAACAAAGCUCAAGGAUGCUGAGUGAGCCUUGGAGAGGAACCAGUAAGCAGCUCUUGCACUGUGGUCUCUGCUUCAGUCUAGGCCUCCAGGCUUCUCCCUUCAUUUCCCCGAGUGAGGGAUCUAACACAAAAGUUUGAUAUACUUUUCCUCCUCCGUGUCGCUUUUGGUCAGUGUUUUGUUACAGCAACAAUGAAGCUAACCAGAAUGCCACUAAAUGAGUUACUACACAUCACUAAAAUCUUGGAUUGUUUUAUGCUUUUUAAAAAAAUGAUUAUUCAGAGGCCCAUUUGUGGAGAUCAGAGGAUAACUUGAGUUCGUUCUCUACCACCAUGUGCAUUCUGGGGAUGAAAGUCAGGCGAUCAGGCUUG
rnacentral:lncRNA from 1 species